AAUGCCACAGGCCAAAUGAAGUACCACAUAAUAACAAUGAAACAUCCGACCCCUAAUCAAUAUCACAGGGCAUUUCUCCAACCGCCAGCUUCUCAGGCCAUCUGCCUUUCGGCCACUCCCAGGCACCGUCAGUUCUGAUCAAACGGCCACUUGGGAAAGAACCCAGAGAGAGGAGACUGCUCUGCCAGUGACCCCAGUUCUACGAGAGGCUCCCUACACGCUGCAGAGAAAACGAAGGAGCAAAAUGCAGAGUCCCUUCAAAGAAGAUACAUCGCUUGGCCCAGGUAGACGUAAAGCAAGUCGUCAUCGCGUCAGAAACCGAGAGCUUACGAACAGGCACUUUUAAGAGCUCCAGCACAGCUCGAUUUUAUUUAUUUAUUGAGAGAGAGACAGUGAGAGAGAGAGCAUGAGCAAGGAGAAGGUCAGAGGGAGAAGCAGACUCCACAUGAAGCUGGGAGCCCGAUGCAGGACUCGAUCCCAGGACUCUGGAAUCAUGACCUGAGCCGAAGGCAGUUGUCCAACCAACUGAGUCACCCAGGCGUCCCUACACACAUUUCUCUUUGUAUGCUCUCUUA